rnacentral:rRNA from 1 species
AGGUGGCAAGUGUUAUCCGGAUUUAUUGGGUGUAAAGGGAGCGUAGACGGCUGUGCAAGCCUGAAGUGAAAGGUAGGGGCCCAACCCCUGGACUGCUUUGGGAACUGUACGGCUGGAGUGCAGGAGAGGUAAGUGGAAUUCCUAGUGUAGCGGUGAAAUGCGUAGAUAUUAGGAGGAACACCAGUGGCGAAGGCGGCUUACUGGACUGUAACUGACGUUGAGGCUCGAAAGCGUGGGGAGCA